GGUGAGUAAUGCCUGGGAAAUUGCCCAGUCGAGGGGGAUAACAGUUGGAAACGACUGCUAAUACCGCAUACGCCCUACGGGGGAAAGCAGGGGACCUUCGGGCCUUGCGCGAUUGGAUAUGCCCAGGUGGGAUUAGCUAGUUGGUGAGGUAAUGGCUCACCAAGGCGACGAUCCCUAGCUGGUCUGAGAGGAUGAUCAGCCACACUGGAACUGAGACACGGUCCAGACUCCUACGGGAGGCAGCAGUGGGGAAUAUUGCACAAUGGGGGAAACCCUGAUGCAGCCAUGCCGCGUGUGUGAAGAAGGCCUUCGGGUUGUAAAGCACUUUCAGCGAGGAGGAAAGGUUGAUGCCUAAUACGUAUCAACUGUGACGUUACUCGCAGAAGAAGCACCGGCUAACUCCGUGCCAGCAGCCGCGGUAAUAC
rnacentral:rRNA from 1 species